GGGGAAUUGGAAAAGUAACAGAGCAUAUCUUAAAAGUUGUAUUUGAGAUCAAGACAUGUGAAGAUUUGUAGCAGAAAAACUCCUUACUUUUUGCACGAUUCUCUCCUUCAUCUGCAUCUGCAGAGUUAUUUGUGUCUGUAGGGUUAGGACUUGGGGGAACAGAAGCACCGAAUGUUAGAUCAUGAAAAAGUAUGAGCAAUGAGAGAACAUUUUCUACAACUAAAUAUGAGACCUUUUUUAAUCAGAAGUUAGGUCAUUUAUCAUUUUAUCAUUUUUUUCUGCUGACAUGGAGAAACAAGGUAUACAUGGAAAGACAUUGACACUCAAACUAAAAGCCGCAUCAUUUGAGGUGAGAACUUGAGCGAUGACUUUUCAGAGUUAUAUAAGGUCAAGUAAAGAUAUACUGAAGCAUGCUUCAAAGCUUCUCAAGGCUAGA